UACGUAGGGUGCAAGCGUUGUCCGGAAUUAUUGGGCGUAAAGAGCUCGUAGGCGGUUUGUCGCGUCUGCUGUGAAAACCCGAGGCUCAACCUCGGGCCUGCAGUGGGUACGGGCAGACUAGAGUGGCGGUAGGGGAGAUUGGAAUUCCUAGUGUAGCGGUGAAAUGCGCAGAUAUCAGGAGGAACACCGGUGGCGAAGGCGGGUCUCUGGGCCGAUGACUGACGCUGAGGAGCGAAAGCGUGGGGAGCGAACAGG
rnacentral:rRNA from 1 species